rnacentral:lncRNA from 1 species
UGCCACCAGGUCCCUGACACCUCCCCUGUCCCCUCCCCAGCUGUCCCCAGCCCUGCUGCAGCCACAGAUCACCGUGGUGGCCACCCUGGGCGAGCUGCUGGCCACCCUGCCCAGGAGGGACGAGAUGCUGCUGCCCGUGUCCGCAGGGCGCCUGUACUGGGACCUGGCAGACUUCACCAGUGACCUCCGAGUCACCCUGUACUGUGUUGAUGACUCCUGGUGGCAUCACAAUGUCACCUCCAAUGAUAAGGAGCCUGACACCCCCCUAAGCCAGGCCCUGGAAGCCUGGAGGAGAACCACAUGUACCACCUGGAAUGAUGUGACAGUGGUGGCCAGUGAGUGGCAGGGGAUGGUGUCUGUGCUUGUGGACAGGUGGACCCAGCUGGCCAGGGCAGCCACCAAGCUCCACAACACCUGCAGAGACGUGGCCAUUGAGGCAGCUGACAGGGUGGGCACCGCCAGGGAGCAGCAGGACAGGACUGCCAUUUUUGUGCCAGCUCAGGAAAACAUGGGAGAGCUGGGUCAGGCCCUGGGCAAGGAGGAGGAGGCUGAGGAGGAGGACACAUAUAAAGCCCAGAAGAGGAGAGAGGCCAGGGUGGCUGCCAGCGAGGCAACAAGGGCCGCCAUGGUGAGACAGCGGGUAGAGGUGGCCCUGGGGCUGCUGGAGCGCUUGGCGGUCACGUGUGACAAAGCCACCAUGUUCCCCCAAGAGCUGCAGCGCAGGGUUUGGAAAAUCAAGACCACCCUGAAGGGGACAAAUGAGGCGUCCCCCAAUGUCCCUGAGGACUUGGUGGCCAAGGUGGCAGUGGCCCAGCGGCUGUGGGAGGCCAACGCCCGCCUGGCCAAGGAUCACCUGCUGGGGGCAGUUCCAGACACCAUCAAGUUCUUGUUCAAUGGUGGUCCCAACAGCCCCUGUGAGGUGGCCGAGCGGUGCCAAAGAGCCAUCGAGGACAUCUCAAGGCUCCUUCGACCCCCGGAGCAUUCCCAGAGUUUCCCCAAGGUGUCCCCAGUGAGUAUGGAGCCCAAGAGGUUCAACGGG